UCCUAUUAAAAACUGGAAAUGUAUGCAGUGGCUAUAACAAUCGAUAUACAUAAAUGUAGAAUGGUAUAGUGUAGAUGUGAAGUGAGUUUCUCUGCUUCAAAUUACAGAUCGUGGAGCAAGACUCGGAGUCUUCAAGAGUGCUGACAAAAUGCAGAUUCUGAGGAGGAAAGGACGCCUUUUAAAUGCAAACAUUUGGGUGGGUCUAGAUGAUAUAGCAACUGAAGGCACCUGGAAGUGGCAUGAUGGAAGUAUUCUCCCACAGUGGAGCUAUCAACCUACCUAUUUCAGUGACGGUCAACCAAAUAAUUUCGAUAAUCAGGACUGCGCUCAUUACUGGCAAAAAGAAACCUACCUGGCAGAUAACGUAUGCACCAAUGCCUAUUAUUACGUGUGCGAAAAAAUCUGACCGUUUGUUUUUUUUUAACCACAAUUAAGUAAAAUAAAUUAGCAAUGAGUCACGCUG